CCUUAUUUCAUGGAUGGCAACUUUUGUCUCCUUAAUGGCGGCCUUGAUGCUAAAACCCGUGGUUGAUUUGACCCUUCAAAAUGGAUUUAGCCAGGUGUACCGUGGCAGCGAGGCCAUGCACGGUUGGAGCUUUGGGAAGUACUUGUCCCCAAAUGGCCCAUUGCAGGAGAAUCUCGCCUCCAUUCUUGCCAUCGUGGUGCAUGUCCAAUAUUGCGGGGUCGAAAUAGUGGCAGGGGCAGCUUUUGGGUCCUUUGCUUGUUUUGCAAUUUACAAACUGAGUUGCGAGGUUGGCGACUACUUGGACAAAAAUUCUGCGGAGUUGAAUUUUUACCAGUUUUCCAGUUUUUACACCAGCCUUCGUCAAAUCGUGGAUGCGACCAACGAGUCCUUGUCCAUGAUCAUGUUUGCUUUCAUCGUGACUGCAUUGGGGUUUUACAGCAUCACAAUUACGCAACUAUUCGAUGACACGAAUGAUAAUUUACGCAGGAUUUUAGACCUUAUCUUUAUUUCUUCGACAGUAAUUUCACUUUGUGUUGGAGCGAGUGCAGAGCUGCAGGUAUGCAUGCGUAUCAUUGCCUCAUAACAUAAUCGGUCCGGUAUGCAUACACUUGAUUUGUGGGUUGACAUGUAGUUCCACGUGGUGGAAUCUACUCGCUUUGAGAGUCGGGCAGAGAAAAGUUUCUUGGAGAACAGCGUGGAGGGUUUGCUCAUUAAUGCGGACUUUGUGUCGAAACCUAUGAGCUUGCAAGUGUUCAAGUUCGCCCUAACGUACGGCAUGAUCAUCAGCAUUUUUAGUACAAUAUUUACUUAUAUGACUGUCCUGCUGCAAUUUGGGGGUUCGGAUUAGAUCGAAUGAGCGAAUACAGGACUAUAAACAAAGUGCUUAGCUUAGGAUUUGUCCGAAAUUUGCACAAAAAAAUAGUUAAGGAUUGUUGUAGCCGAGGUGGUCUUGUUAACGAUCUGUCUUGAAGGAAAUAUAUUUACCACUUUACGAUUACAUAAGGUGUUUACAUAAAUUGUUAAAUUAUUGUUUUUUCUUAUCAGAAAUAAAGGUUAACUGCAUAAUUACACACUUUUAGUGGCGAGUGAGUGUAAAUGUUGGCAGAA